GUGCUUGAGAGUUUGUGAAUUUUGUACAUUUCUGCAUAAAUAUGACCUAAAACACCAUCUGAUUUUCUUCAAAGUAGAUGAAGAGAACCCAAUUAAACAAAUGAGACAAAAUAUUAUUCUUGGUCAUUUAUUUAUUGAGGAAAAUGUUCCAAUAUCACAUAUCUAUAAGUGGCAAAAGUAUGCAAACCUUUGCAUUCAGUGUCUGGCGUGACCCGCUUGUGCAGGAAUAACUGCAGCUAAACAUUUCCGGUAACUUGAUCAGUCCUGCACAUCGGCUUGGAGGAAUUUUAGCCCGUUCCUCAGUACAGAACAGCUUCAACUCUGGGAUGUUGGUGUGUCUCCUCACAUGAACUGCUUGCUUCAGGUCUUUCCACAGCAUUUCUAUUGGAUUAAGAAUUCACUGGGAUAAUUCAGAAUUUAUUGUUCCAUCAAUGAUUGCAAGCUGUCCUGGUCCAGAUGCAGCAAAACAGGUCCAAACCAUGAGACUACCACCACCAUGUUUCACAGAUGGAUAAAGGUAUCAUGCUGGAAUGCAGUGUUUUCCUUUCUCCAAAAACACCACUUCUCAUUUAAACCAUGUGUCAUGAAGGGAGUGAGAAGGAUUGUCCAUCUUGGAAAGCAGUUUAUUCAGCGACCUCCUGCUCAUCACUGAUUCAAACGUCUCCAGGUUUUGUCCACGCGAAUGAGUUUAUUGAUCCUGCUGGCAUAAUAAACAAAAUACCCCAACACAUUUCCAAACUCCUCAAGUUGUUGACUCAUGAUCAUAUUCUAAAGAAACAUGGUGUACCCUUUUUAAAACCGUCUUUCGGAUGAGACGUUAAACCGAGGUCCUGACUCUCUGUGCUCAUUAAAAAUCCCAGGACACUUCUCGUAAAAGAGGUAGAGGUAUAACCCUGGUGAAA
ensembl:lncRNA